rnacentral:rRNA from 1 species
GAUGAACGCUGGCGGCGUGCCUAAUACAUGCAAGUCGAGCGAACAGACGAGGAGCUUGCUCCUCUGACGUUAGCGGCGGACGGGUGAGUAACACGUGGAUAACCUACCUAUCAGACUGGGAUAACUUCGGGAAACCGGAUCUAAUCCCGGAUAAUAUAUUGAACCGCAUGGUUCAAUAGUGAAAGACGGUUUUGCUGUCACUUAUAGAUGGUUCCGCGCCGCAUUGGAUAGUUGUUAGGGUAACGGCCUACCAAGGCAACGAUGCGUAGCCGACCUGAGAGGGGGAUAGGCGACACGGGAGCGGGGACACGGUCCAGACUCCUACGGGAGGCAGCAGUAGGGAACCGGACGCAAUGGGCGAAAGCUUGACGGAGCAAGGCCGAGUGAGAGAUGAAGGUGUUCGGAUCGUAAAACUGUGUUAUUAGGGAAGAACAAAUGUGUAAGUAACUGUGCACGUCGUGACGGUACCUAAUCAGAAAGCCACGGCUAACUACGUG